UGAGGUGAAAAUGAUUGCCAAAAUGUUUGUGUUCUUCCUGCUUCUCAUUUGCUUCCCUGUUUCAAACAGUACUGAAAAGGAGUUUGACUACUAUAAGCUUGUCCUUCAGUGGCCAAUUUCUGUCUGCAAUGUGAGGCGUAGCUGUUUACAGCCACCUUUUUCGGAGUUCACUGUGCAUGGCCUAUGGCCAUUUUUGGCUCCUGAUUCUAUGGUAACAGAGUGUUCUAAAGAUGUACUGACAAAGAGCAAGGUGAAGGAUACUAUAAAGGCUCUGCGGAAGUACUGGCCAAGCUUUGUCGAUCGAGAAGAUUUUGACUUCUGGUCUUAUCAGUGGCUAAAACAUGGCACAUGCUCUGGUUUAGAUCCACUACCAUACUUCAAGUUGGCCAUUAGUACCACUAUUGAAGCCAGACAGCUUCUUGAAUCACUGAAUAGAAAAGCUUAUACACCCAGAUUCAAGCCCUACCAAAUGAACGACCUCUACGAUAAUUUUAAAGCAGCGCUAGCGAAAAAGCCGGAAGAUAAAAAAGUUAUACAAUUCAAGUGCAAUAAAAAAGACGGUAAGUUUCAGCUGUUGGAAAUUUACGUCUGUGUUGACAAAAAAGGAGUUGCUUUGGAUUGUCCAACACCCAAAUUCAUUGAAUGUGGCGACAAUGAAAUGGCAGAAAUUCGAUACCCUGACAAGUGAACUCCUCCCUCUACUGCUUAAGGUGGAAUCAAAAGAUGCAUGACAUGCAGAAUGAAGAACUAAUUAACGGUCUUUCUAGAAAAGCAAAUAUAUCUAUCUACAAUAAUUUGGUAAUUAAGUGGAAUUAUAUGUAUGUUGUGGUUGGAACUUUUGGGUCUAUAAUGUUAAUGUGUGUUUUGCUUCGAACUUAAAUAAAUACACUUACUGGUGUGCAUGGU